rnacentral:rRNA from 1 species
CAAGUCGAACGGAAAGGCCCUGCUUGCAGGGUACUCGAGUGGCGAACGGGUGAGUAACACGUGGGUGAUCUGCCCUGCACUUCGGGAUAAGCUUGGGAAACUGGGUCUAAUACCGGAUAGGAACCAUCUUUAGUGUGGUGGUUGGAAAGUUUUUCGGUGUAGGAUGAGCUCGCGGCCUAUCAGCUUGUUGGUGGGGUAAUGGCCUACCAAGGCGGCGACGGGUAGCCGGCCUGAGAGGGUGUACGGCCACAUUGGGACUGAGAUACGGCCCAGACUCCUACGGGAGGCAGCAGUGGGGAAUAUUGCACAAUGGGCGCAAGCCUGAUGCAGCGACGCCGCGUGGGGGAUGAAGGCCUUCGGGUUGUAAACUCCUUUCGCUAGGGACGAAGCUUUUUGGUGACGGUACCUAGAUAAGAAGCACCGGCUAACUACGUGCCAGCAGCCGCGGUAAUACGUAGGGUGCGAGCGUUGUCCGGAAUUACUGGGCGUAAAGGGCUCGUAGGUGGUUUGUCGCGUCGUCUGUGAAAUUCUGGGGCUUAACUCCGGGCGUGCAGGCGAUACGGGUAUAACUUGAGUGCUGUAGGGGUAACUGGAAUUCCUGGUGUAGCGGUGAAAUGCGCAGAUAUCAGGAGGAACACCGAUGGCGAAGGCAGGUUACUGGGCAGUUACUGACGCUGAGGAGCGAAAGCAUGGGUAGCGAACAGGA